UACGGAGGGCGCAAGCGUUGUUCGGAAUCACUGGGCGUAAAGAGCGUGUAGGCGGUCUGGAAAGUCGGAUGUGAAAGCCCCGGGCUCAACCCGGGAAUGGCAUCCGAAACUUCUAGGCUAGAGUCCCGGAGAGGAGAGCGGAAUUCCCGGUGUAGGGGUGAAAUCCGUAGAUAUCGGGAGGAACACCUGAGGCGAAGGCGGCUCUCUGGACGGUGACUGACGCUGAGACGCGAAAGCGUGGGGAGCAAACAGGAUUAGAUACCCCCGUA
rnacentral:rRNA from 1 species